GGAGGAUCCUGCAGGUGUUGAAGGGUGUAUUCACUUCCUGUUUCUGCUGUAGCAAAAUAUCACACGUUUGAUAUUCUCUUACAGAUCUGGAGGUGCUAAAGUUCAGCAGUCUGAAAUGUAUUGGCAGGCAGGUUCUUUCUGCAGGCUCUGGGGAAGAACCUAUUUCCCUGCCUUCUUCACCUCCUAGAGGCCACCUGCAUUCCCAUGUGGCAGUGGGGAAUGAAAACAGGAAAGUGGCAGCUCUGACCGAAAGCAAUGUGAUUGAUAAAGAGGGUGGGCAGUGGGGGGACAUUUCCUCAAAAGAAAGGAUUGCUAUUCACCGAAGAGGGAGUGAAGUCCUGGGAAGGCAAGAUAACAGGUGUGCACUCAGCUGUGAUAGAGAGGCCGACCAGGCACGCUGUUUGCAGCAAAAUGGGCGUUAUGCUUUGCCCCUGGAGGCGUGGAAGUGGGGCAAGAGGGUAGAGAAAAAGUUGUUCCAGCCACUACGGAUGUGUAACAAGUUACUGCAAAUCUUGUUGACUUAAAAUAGCCACUUGGUUUGCUCAUGAUUUUGUGGGCCAGGAAUUUAGACAGGACUGAGCCUGGCAGGUCUCACUCAGUGUUUCCCUAGCAGCUGCUCAGAUGUCAUCUGAAGGCCCCACAGGGCUGGACGUCCAAGAUGGCUCACUCACAUGGCUGGCAUGGGUUGUGUCCAGGUAGCUCAGCUGGGGCUGCCAACCCAGGGCUCUGCAUGGCUUCUCCAGCAUGGCGGGGUCUCAGAGUAGCUGGACUUCUUAUGUGGUAGCUGGCUUCCCCCUCCCACUGAGUGGGAAUCUUAAGAGGACGAACUGGAAACUUCAUAAUUUUUUUUUUCUUUGAGAUGGAGUCUCACUCUGUUGCCCAGGCUGGAGUGCAGUGGCCUGAUCUCGGCUCACUGAAACCUCCACCCCUGGGUUCAAGCGAUUCCCCUGCCUCAGCCUCCCGAGUAGCUGGGAUUACAGGUGCCCGCCACAGCGCCCGGCUAAUUUUUGUAUUUUUAGUAGAGACAGUGUUUCACCAUCUUGGCUGUUACACGCCUCCGUAUAAGAGACCACCUGAGCAGGCUUAGUGGAGCAACAAGGCUGUUUAUUCACUUGGGUGCAAGUGGGCUGAGUCAGAGAAAGGAGUCAGCGAAGGGUGGUGGGAGUGGAACUGGUUCUAUAGGUUUGGGGUAGGUAGUGGAAAGUUACAGUUAGGGGCAGUUUUUUUGGGCAGGGGAAGAAUGUUACAAGGUGCAUAGUCACAAGGUGGGGGAAGUCAUAAGGCACGAUAUCACAAGGUGGAUGGAUUAGUUGGGGAAGGGCAGGAACAUAUCACAAGGUGGAUGGAUUAAUUAGGGUAGGGAAGGAACAUAUCACAAGGUGGAUGGAUUAGUUAGGGUAGGGCAGGAACAUGUCACAGUGGUGGAUGGAUUAGUUGGGGAAGGGCAGGAACAUAUCACAAGGUGGAUGGAUUAGUUAGGGUAGGGAAGGAACAUAUCACAAGGUGGAUGGAUUAGUUAGGGUAGGGCAGGAACAUGUCACAGUGGUGGAUGGAUUAGUUAGGGUAGGGCAGGAACAUGUCACAAGGUGGAUGGAUUAGUUAGGGUAGGGCAGGAACAUGUCACAAGGUGGAUGGAUUAGUUGGGGAAGGGCAGGAACAUGUCACAAUGGUGGAUGGAUUAGUUGGGGAAGGGCAGGAACAUGUCACAAUGGUGGAUGGAUUAGUUGGGGAAGGGCAGGAACAUGCCACAAGGUGGAUGGAUUAGUUGGGGAAGGGCAGGAACAUAUCACAAGGUGGAUGGAUUAGUUAGGGUAGGGCAGGAACAUGUCACAGUGGUGGAUGGAUUAGUUGAGGAAGGGCAGGAACAUGCCACAAGGUGGAUGGAUUAGUUGGGGAAGGGCAGGAACAUAUCACAAGGUGGAUGGAUUAGUUAGGGUAGGGAAGGAACAUAUCACAAGGUGGAUGGAUUAGUUGGGGAAGGGCAGGAACAUAUCACAGUGGUGGAUGGAUUAGUUGGGGAAGGGCAGGAACAUAUCACAAGGUGGAUGGAUUAGUUGGGGAAGGGCAGGAACAUAUCACAGUGGUGGAUGGAUUAGUUGGGGGAAGGGCAGGAACAUAUCACAAGGUGGAUGGAUUAGUUAGGGUAGGGCAGGAACAUAUCACAGUGGUGGAUGGAUUAGUUGGGGAAGGGCAGGAACAAUCACAAGGUGGAUGGAUUAGUUGGGGAAGGGCAGGAACAUAUCACAAGGUGGAUGGAUUAGUUGGGGAAGGGCAGGAACAUGUCACAAUGGUGGAUGGAUUAGUUGGGGAAGGGCAGGAACAUGUCACAAUGGUGGAUGGAUUAGUUGGGGAAGGGCAGGAACAUAUCACAAGGUGGAUGGAUUAGUUGGGGAAGGGCAGGAACAUAUCACAAGGUGGAUGGAUUAGUUGGGGAAGGGCAGGAACAUAUCACAAGGUGGACUGUUGCAAGGUCGGUUAAUCAUUAAGGCAGGAACUAGCUGUUCCGUCUUCUUUAGUGGUUCUCCUGUUGCUCCAGGCUUUGUGACUCCAGGAGGCCUGUAACGUGUGGGUCACAGGGGUCACAAUGGCUCGACCAUGGGGUAGCCCAUUCAGGGGACCUUCCACUGGCCAGGUUGGUCUUGAACUCGUGACCUCAUGAUCCACCCGCCUCGGCCUCCCAAAGUGCUGGAAUUACAGGCGUGAGCCACCGCGUCCCGCCCAAAGCUGCAUAAUUUUUUAUCCUCAAAAGUUAAGCAGCUUUCCUUCCCCUACAGUCAGUGUUAUAAGUGAGUCACUAACGUCAGCCCACUUUUGAGUAGAGGGGACAUAGAUUCCCACAGCUCAAUGGGAGGAGUGUCAAAAAAAUGUAUGAGCAUAUUUUAAAACCAUUGCAAAGUAUGUCAUGGGGAGAGUGUCCAGAGGAGAGAUGACUGAGUUGGGUUAAAUUGCCAGGCCAGGCACAGUGGCUCAUGUCUGUAAUCCCAGCAUUUCGGGAGGCCGAGGCGGUAAAAUCUCUUGAGGCCAGGAGUUUGAGACCAGCUUGGGAAACAUAGCGAGACCCCCAUCUCUACAAAAAAUUUAAAAAUUAGCCAGGUGUGGUGGUGCAUGCCUAUGGUCCCAGCUACUUGGGAGGCUUAGGUGAGAGGAUCGCUUGAGCCCAGGAGUUCGAGGCUGCGUUGGGCCACGACUGCACCACUGCACUCCAGCCUGAGUGACAGGGUGAGACCGUCUCAAAAAUAAAUGAAUAAAUAAAUAAAUUGCCAGGCCACAGAAAAUGCUUAAGUAUUACAACUGGUAAAUCAUAAGAGUUAUGGUUGAUGUGGCUCCCAG
rnacentral:lncRNA from 1 species